rnacentral:rRNA from 1 species
GACAGAGGAUGCAAGCGUUGUCCGGAUUUAUUGGGCGUAAAGAGCGUGUAGGCGGCCAGGUAGGUCUGGUGUGAAAACUCGAGGCUUAACCUCGAGAUGUCAUCGGAAACCAUUUGGCUAGAGUCCGGAAGAGGAGAGUGGAAUUCCUGGUGUAGCGGUGAAAUGCGCAGAUAUCAGGAAGAACACCAAUGGCGAAAGCAGCUCUCUGGGACGGUACUGACGCUGAGACG